UUUGAUUAUGGCUCUUAGUUUGCAGUCAUCUGCGAACUUCGUUAGUCAAAGACCUUCUGUGUUAGCCUGUACUUCAGGCUAAUGGAAUACAAAUAGAAAACACAGUAUCAAUUAUUUUUCUCUAUGAAACAGUGAUUGGCUGAUAAAGUUCAUUGAGCUGAAAAAUCAUCUAGUUUACAUUUAGUGAAGUCAGUGGUAGUUGGAUUUGUCUUUUUACAUUUAAUGGACAGCAGGUUCUCAUUUUCUUCCAUCAAGAUUCGCAGUCAGCCUUGUCAGUUUGCCUUCAGUUGGAUCCUGAUUUAGCCUCUUGGCAUAUUUUGAAGGUGCUUAUGAACGGUAUAGUUCACUUUACGUCUCCCCUCAACAAGUACUGCAUUCUUUCUAAACAGAACUUUAAUUUUUUUUUGGGGGGGGGGGGGUCACCUUUACAGUUUGCAGUUUGGAAAGUAGCCAUUCUUUGUGCAUGUGACCUCAUCUAGGACUGUGUUGGAGUUGCAGGUCUUUAAGUGUGUCAGAUAUUGUGUAGUAUUCCACAAGGUAAGUAGUGCCUUUAACUGUAUAACUAUUUAUAUCCAUGGUGAUGAGAGGUAUUGCUUUAAAUCAAAAGAGAGCUUUCAUCUUUUUAUUCUCAUUCCAGUAUCACUGGGAAUUGAUUUGUUACAUCAUUUUCAGUGUAAAAACUGUUUGCAUAUGUUUCAAGAACUAAAGAAGCAUAGUAAAUUAGAUCAACUUCUCUGUCUCCUUUUCACCUAGUAAGUUGCUGGCACAAGCGGGUAGAUAUCCUGUUUUCAUUGUUAUUAUUCCAUAGGCAAAUCAGUUCAAGGACCUUUCAGGGCUCAUUCCACAAAGAACACUGUUAAGCUGUCUUCGCUUGGUUUGUGGUGUCUAUUUAGCGGUUGUCUUGGGAGUCAGCCACAUAAUAUGUAGUAUUAAGUUUCUGGAAUUAGAGGUGAUUUUGCUGCAGAGGUUGUCCAAGAAGUAUUGCUGAGCUUUGGAUUCAUAGUUUGAAGUUGUGCCAAAACAUCUUUGAGACUUGAACAAGGAUUAUCAAAUGUUGAGACAUAGUUAUGUGAUGCACUUGCCAUGAGUAGAUAGUAUAAUUAUCUUUGUUGUUACAGUAUAGGUAUACUCCUCCAUCACUGUCGGGUGGUUUUCGUUUCAUUUCACAUUAACAAUAUCUGGCAAUGUACUCUGAUGUGCAUCUGUUUAGGGCUGAAUGUAACUGAAACUUUUUACGGUCGUGUUUAGCCAAUUGCACAGAUGAGUGGCUGUGUGAUCAUUUUUGAACACUUCUUGCAGCAGUCACACAGGAUAUCUUGGCUAGUUGACUGUGACAAGCAGGAGAGUGUAGUGUGGAAGCCUGUUAAUACUAUCACAUUAAUACUGUGCUUUGUUCUGAUACUAGUAGCUUGUUGAUGUGCCGUUAUUAGCUGGGUUAACUGUCAUAGACCGACCAUAUAAGGCAUUUUAUGUAAAGAGCCAUGGAUGGAGGUCAGUAUGUUUCUGGCAUAUUUUGGCACUUUGGUUACUGAGCUAAUUUCUCACAGGGAUUUUGGCUCAAAGAUCUGAGACUGUUCCUACCUUUGAGGGACUGGGUGAUGCUAACCUGAUUGACAGCUCUAACUUAGCUGAACUUAGGUGCAGUUUUGAUUUACUGUAGCAGUACACUGCUGUUUCACAGCACUUGGCUCUCUGGUUCAAUUUCCUGUUGUGAUCAUCUUUUAGUCUGCUUGUCCUCCCAUUGUCGGCAUAAGUUUGCCAGGAGCUCCCAUUUUGUACUGCAUUCUAGAGACAGAAUUCUAAGUGGCCCGUAAGUGUAUGCUCACAUCCUGUGCUGGACUAGCAUCCUCUCCAUGAAUAAUGUCCUCUGCUUUGCUCUCACUGAGUGGCAGAAUACGUUUCAGCUCUUCCAUAGUUUUAAAUUGGGUGAAGCUGGUAAUGGAGAAGUAAAUGUUUGGACUACUGCUUUAGGAAAACGUAUUUCCUCAAGAAGUGGGUAGCAACUCAAAAGCAGUUAUGACUGACAAUGACAGUUGUACUUUAUAGCCAGCAAAUUAUUUUUAGAUUAUGGGUGGCAGACUUACGUAAACACGGUUGCAGUAUGGGCUUACUGCAGUAUGGUGCAACGCACUUACCCCUAAGCUUUAAAGAUUUGUCAGAAAAAUGUUUAAAUGCCAUUUAACAGUUGAGAAAAGGAUUGUGUAAAAUGGUUUCACUUUUGAUGCAGUUAAUAAGCAGUGGAAAACACAACUUUGAAUACACAGAUCCAUGAUUUGCACUUAUAGACAUUUUCUUGUGAGUUGAAGGACAGAUGUGCGAUAGUUCAUUUUGUCAGAAACCAUGGUUAGUGCAAGGGUUCUUUUAGCAUAUAUCAGGAAAUAAUACCUGCUAGUAUUUUUUUUUUUUUUUUUUUUUUUGUUACUGUAAAAGCUUUCAGCUCAGUGCUGCCAAGCAGAGUUAUUCCUGCAGUAAGAAUACACUCUACUGUAGAUCAUCUGGCUGUUCUUGUAGGGAAAGUAUCUUGCAGGCUGCAGGAAGCUUGUCCUUUGUAUUUGUAGAAGCUGCUGCUGACAGUGUGCAUCCUAGUAAUUGAUAAACACAUAGCACAUUAUAUGCAUGAUCCACAGCAAAGGUCACUUGUAAUCUGAAACAUUCACAUGUUGAACAUCAUAUCCAGUAAGUGGAGUUCAUACGUGGCUGGCCAUUGUUUCUGCUAGAAUUAGCAGGUGUGUCUUUGUUGCAUUAACUCAUUUUAUAGGCUAUGGUUACAUGGGAUCAAAUCAGAAAAGUUUAUUCCUUCGUACAAUGUGCCUUCCUUCUGAAUCAUAGGUAAAAUGAGAGGGAAUGAUUCUAGUCGCCAUGUGUUCCGUAAUCCGCUCACAGUAGCCCCAGGAAAGUUCAGUGUACCUCUUGCAUUUGAGCUGACAGUUUUGCAAAGAUUGAAGCCUUUUGUUCUAUCAGAGUACAUUUUGAAUGUUCCCAAAGAGUGUUUAUUUUGUGAUGCAACCUGUUACAACAUUAAGGUCCAUCUGUAUUCUGUUUUAGGGCGUUGGGUUUUUUUGACAUUAGCUUUAGGUUAAAAACAUUCUGAGAUGUUCUGUAUGUUUCUUCAAGACCUGUUCUGUGAACUGUAUUAUUUGUACACCUGUGUAAUGGAAAAGUUAUUUGAACCUGUAUGGGUACCUUUAACCAUGGCAGAUAUGAUCAUGUCAGGUCAGUUUUACUUAUAAGGAAGUAUAUUAUGAAUUUAAAAUUGUACUUGUAAAGCAGAUGUUUAAGUUAUAGGCCCUGUAUACUAGAAGUAACCAUGUGACUUCACAGGAGUCAAGGUAGUAAGGUGCACACAGUCAUUUGUCUACCACCCAGUCAUGCAUAUAUUAACCCAAAAAAAAAACUUGCUUUAAGGAUUUUCCAGAGCCAUUUUUUCCAGCAGCUGAUGCUGUCCUGCAGUGGGUCAUUGUAACCAGGACAGAGUUGGGGUCAUUUUUAGUUCAAGUCCCUGUCAAGGAAUUUCAUUGUCUCUUUGGACCUUUUAAAGAGUUUGUUUUUCAUAGUGGUGACCUGGACUAACCCAACUGUUCUGUUGAUUUUUCUUAAACUAGUACAACCACAUUGAGCAGUCACCUGUAUUUAUGCUGUUUGUAAUGCCACCAAAAAUAUAUUGGGUUCCUUAAAAGGACAGUUAGACUGCAUUUUCUGUUGCAUGCUUCCAUGUAAAGAUGGGCCUUGAGUCUAGGCAGUGCAGUAAAAGGUACUUGGGGUUGGUGGAUGCACACAUUUUAAUUACAGAAAGGUUGGAAUGCAGCUGCUUGAAGGGGGCAAACAGCAUUUCAACAUGGAUGCUGGUUUCUUAAUGAAAGUUGUAGGGAAAUGAUUUUGGUUAUAGAUGUAGAAAGCUCAUUAUCCUGUGAAUGUGUGCAUCCUUUCUCCAGGCAGUGCUUCCUACAUCACUGGACUCAGUCUGUUGACUGCUUUAGCACAGCUGUCCCACAGAUCCUUUUUCUUAAGACGUGGUAAUCUUUCCAUGCAUCUUUAUUUUACACUGAAUUUAAUUUUCAGUUUUAGUCUGGGAGUCAAAUUUGUAGUUUAUUUUGAGAGAAAAGGAAAAUGAUACUUUGUCUUCUUGAUAUUUUAGUUUCAUUAUCUGCUCAUUUUUACCUGUUGACGCACUGAGUGUUAUGUCAAAGUAGGCUUACGGGCGGUGGUUUAUGUAUACUAGCAAGGCAUUCUGUGUAAUCAAAAACUAGCUGCUACUUCAGCAGAAAAAAAUACUCACAUUGUCUGUUGUGACACUACAUCAUCACUUAUGGUAAUUUUUUAUGUAAGGUAUGCUACCUGCAAAGGCCAACGGCUUGUGUUUUAGGAAGUAAAAAUAUUCUGUAACUGCAGUUAGAAUGGAAAAUAGUAGCCUGUGCACUAGUGUAGGGCAAUGAGAUAUUGUGGCCCCAGUCUUAAUGGUAAAAUAUUUCCCCACACUUUCAUGUCCAGAGUUCAGUUUUGAUGUCUGGUCACUGUGCGAAUUUCCUUUUACCUCCCAGGAACAGACAGGCAGAUUGGCUGCAUUUCGUCGUCCGUACGUUAUCCUUUGUGGCCCAGCGUGUGUCUGAAAAAGACUGAAGAAAGACCAAUCCACGUACUCCCAGGAAUAAUUUUCUGAGGGUGCAUUCUUAUCAACAAUAAAAUGCAAAAGUAAAUUUUUGCAACUUAAACUGCAUGAAUAGGUAUUGUCAUGGUAAGGGUAUUGUAUCAACUGCCGUUAAGUUUUUGUUUUGCUACAAAAAAAGUAAUUAUCACUUUAGACAAGGUCUUCCCACUUUCUAAUAUACUACUGUGAUCUCUACAGUAGUACAGUCAUGUAGAUCGUAAGUGAUAUGGUGAACAAAUUAUCAUUAGUUUUGCAGCAAAGAGCAUGGACGCUACAUAGUUUAAUCAUAGAAUUUUAAAAUCAGGAGUAGUUUACUUGUAGACUGAAAUGGCUGAAUUGUUCAUGCUCAUUCCUUCUACUCUUGAUACUGGCUGUUUCUAAGAGGACAUAAAGACAUUACAGGCAUCUGUGUGGAACACACCAGAUUUUUUUCAGGAUUUAUGCUGACUGAUCUCUGGUCCCUGUCAUUCAGGCCUACUGUUUGAUUGAAAGAACAUCCCUUACCUGUUUGAGGAUGUUAUGUUUUUAUACAGAUUUGUCAGGACGGAUUGGUUGUCAGUUGAUAUCGAUAGUUCUACUUUCUUCGGCAUUUGGUUGUAAUUGCAAAGUGCCUCUGAGAAUCGGGAAUCUCAUACUCGUGGACAUCGAGCCUCGUAGCGCAAGUUUAGGUGAGCUGAUGCUCCAAGUUCCUGUGUGCAAUUUGAUUACCUUUAUUUUUGCAUUGUAGGUUGUGGCUUUUGGCUGAAUGCACGUCCCUCAUCUUGUCCUCGUGGUCAUUUAAGUUUGAGAUCAGAAGCAUUGUGUGAUCAGGAUUAACAGGUUAUAUUACUGCAGUGGUAUAAAUACAUGCAGGAUCUUUAAAGCAUCAGUGCCAGUAUUUAUAGCGGAGAUAUUUAUUUAUUUUGCAUCUUUAACGCACAAAAUUUAAGGAGUGCACCUUGUGGCGCAUUUGAUGGACAUUAGCCAUGCCACAUGCACAUUUUUGAUUUGUGAAAACUGUCCUGUACCUAUGGCUUACAGACAUAACCUCUCGGCUGUCCAGAUUUUCACAGAAUGUCCAUAUUUUGCUAGAUGUUUGGUAUGUUUCUUACAAAGUUUAGGUUUUCUGGCAAAUCAUUGAAGACACUAAAUGGUGGGUAUUUGAGUUUCUUGCUUCAUAUCCUUCAGAAAAUGCAUGCCUAAUGCAAGACCUGUUAUUGUAACAACUCUCUAAGUUUAUAAGAACAAUAUUUAAAAGUCUACCUCUAUUUUUGGUCCUUUUGGGCUCUGUCCAGAUUUUUUGUGUUACGGCAUUGAGAGCUAUGUUUUACAGAUCUGUGCAUCACUUAACUAACUGCUUGAAUUGCUGGUCAUGCAUACCAUAUUUAUAGCUGUGCUCUUGCACAAUUUACAUUUGAUACCCUAAAGUCUUCCAGUUUGCACUUGCUACAGCCUCCCUUAAAGAACUGUUGAUGUCAUCUAGAUGUCCAUCUCUUCUCUUUCAGCUCUCUGGGCUUCAUCAAAUUCAAUCUGACCCCCAGUUCCUAUGCGUUUUUGUUCUAUGAGCAUUUUCAUUCUGGAAGGUACUUUUGCAGUGCAUUAUGAUCAGAAUUGUUAGGUGGGUGCAUCAGUUACGUUUGUUCUUCCUUUUCAGUACAAUUUUGUUUUAGUCCCAUAGGAGAAAAAAUGUUUUAAGUUAUGGCUCAUAUGCAGCAGAUAAUAUUAAAAGAAAGCUUGUGGCCAAAUCAAGUGAUGCUACAUUUUGUUUUAACACUUAAAACAAUUGUAUAUCAAAUUAACGUGGCAGUUGUCCUUUACAUGGGAUUGAAGACAUGAAGUUCAGGAAUAAGUGAAGUACGUACUGAUGCCUUAGUAGUGAAUGCUGGCCUUUGAAGGAGGAGAAGAGUGGGCACCCUAAUAUAUACCGUCAGGUAACAGCAGAGAAGAGUGGGCACCCUAAUAUAUACCGUCAGGUAACAGCAGAGAAGAGUGGGCACCCUAAUAUAUACCGUCAGGUAAUAUAGCAGGUUUCUAUCCAUUAUGACCGUCUGAGUGACCAACUUGUGUAGCUGGAAUUUUAAACUAAAAUUGUAUAUGCUGCAGUCUGUGGAUAGCAGGUACCUGUGUUUCCAAAAUACCCCCAUCCUGGUUAGAAGUAGCCUUUCUCUGUGUCUGUCCAUCUCUGGUGCAGUAAAAUGGGAUUAAAAAAAGACCUCUACUUUCUAACUGUUGCUUUCUCUUUCUCCAUUUUGUUUCAUUGCUUAGCAAGAGUAAAAGGCAUAAGCAGUGGCCUAUCUGUAGACAUAGCGUGUAUGCUAAAAAGUACACAAGUGUACUGAAGCUUCCUUUUAAAGAAUGAGGGGAAAAGGCAAGCACCCUGAAUUCCUUGUGUUUUUAUUUUCCAGCAGUAAUCUAUUAAGUUUACAGGUGCAUCUUCCCACAAAUUCUAAUCACCUUUUUUGCAAAUGUCAUUUUUUUCUUGCCCUGUUCCAAAUUUCAAGGUUUAAAAAGUAACCAAAAAGUAUAUAUUUUUUAUGAAUUUAACUGUGUGGUUGUUAAUCUCAAGAUACUGUGAGCCCAGACUUCUAGCCUUCUGCUCUUUAGUGAGCAUGGUUUCCUGGAAACAUUCACCUCAUUAAGGGCUGCUGCAUCCUGUAUCAGUUGUAAUGUACAUAAAAUUCAACAUUAUUUAGUAUACAUCUUUAUUCGUAUGUCUUAUCGGUUACCUGGUUAUAGUUUAACAUUACUUUUUGUCACUUGCUGUUAACAAGUGGUCUUUGAGCUGUUCUGCAGAUUUGUUUUCCUUUUGUUUUGUGUUGUUACCCAUGGUUAUCUUAUUGGUCCUUUUGUGCAAUAUGUAUAUUUUAAACACUAUAUAUCUCUCAGCAGCCUUUUGUAGCCUGUAAAAAUCUAAAAGCUGUUAGUUUUGUAAUUAAACUGUUAUAAAUGUCUUUUACAGAUUUGCACUUAACAGCUAUUAAAAUUAAGUUAUACAGUUA